rnacentral:lncRNA from 1 species
GAAACGAAUACAUCAUUGUUUAUUUGCUUGCUUUCUCCCUUCUGCAGUUUUCCAGGUUUGAUUUGGGGACUGGGAGACAGCAGCCUAAACUUGAUCAUCCUUUUGGCAAUUACAGGAUGCUGGAAUCGCUCCUUGAGAAGGCUGGACUUUUACAAAGGCUCUGUCAUCCAUGGAUGUCUGCCCAGAUACUUCUUACAGGAUGCUGCUCUUACAAGCAUAAGUGGAUGUCUUUCACUAUACACACCUCAGGACAUGAACGGAUCGAUGGACAGAGUUAAAGACAAUGAGCAAACUGGCCAAUCCAUAUCUGAAUGUCAAACUAUCGACGCCAGAGAAAAAUUCAUGGUAGGACAGGUUAAAAAGAAAAAAAAAACACUGAAAGAAGAAGCAGGUGUCAGACAUCCCUUUUCCCACCCCUGUUUAUGAAAUUAGGAGCUUCAUCAGGAGGAGAAAAGAGAAAUUAAGCCUAAGAAAAUGGGAAGGAGCAGAGGUUUUACACGAUUCAUGAGGUAGUCAUUUUUUCAAAUAGCGGGUUGGAAUCCUGAAAUAUUAUGUGUGGACCUGGAAGUCUCUUUUUCUGGCACAACAGUAUUUUCCUUCUUUUAAACUCAUCUAUAUAUUAAAUUUUUUGUUAAAUCUUAUCUAGCAUUUUUGUGUUUGCAGCAGGAUAGGGCCUAUUAGCCUCAGCUUACUUCUCCAGAUUUCAGAAAAAAAAGCCUACAUCAGUUUUCCUCAAACUGUAGUCUCAGUUUGACUCAUGCCAACUCACAUGGGAUGCUUGUUAAAAAGACUGAUUGCAGGGCAUCCUAGACCAGACCUACUCAAAUACAACGUUGGAGCAUGGUGCCUGGAAAUCUGCACUUUAAACUAAAACAUGCUACCCAUGCACAUUAAAGUUUAGUAGUGACCUUUGGGGGGAUUUCCAACUUACUGCUCCAGGACAGAAAAAAAAAUCAAAACUAUUGAAGAGAAGAAUACCAAUAAUAGCUUUCCUUACUUGGUUUUCCAUAUGAAUAAAUUCUCAGUCUCACAAAGGUAAGGGGAAAUC